rnacentral:lncRNA from 10 species
CUGUAAAAAAGGUUAUCGUUAUGGAUCCUGUGGGAAUUGGUGGCAUGAAGGGACCACUAGGGGGCGCCCAACGCCUCAGAAUAGUCCACCUUUAAGUCUCUAGGCCUGGUCCUGGAGGCUCUUGACUCCAGGCUUCCCUAAGGUUCCUGGAAGGCCUUCAUGUGUUAUUACUGGUUGGACAGAGAAGAGCACUGCCAGCCCCAGAUGGGAGUGAGAAGGCCGGUCGGGGAGAAGGUCUGUGCUGGGAGCCUUCCUGGGUGAUCCUGUGUUUCCAUCAUUAAUCACUUUGAACACUGCAUUCUCAUUUGGCAGAAUGCUGAAGCCUUACUGGUCUGAGGUGUCAGAGGUCAGAGCCUGAGACUGACAGAGGAGCCACAGGUGACCAGCAAACUGCAGAAGCUCUGGGGAGAACUCCAUGGAGUCAGGCUAAAAACAGCAGCAACCAGAAACUGUAAGAACUGAGCAGAGAUACCAGCUGCACCACUAGAGAGACAAAGUGUGUAGCUCACUGCCUAGUACAGCAAAAUAGCCACAAUCCUCAGAAGGACACAACAGAAUCUGGAAUCACUAGAAAGUAUUAUCUACAAUGCUCAUUCUUAACCAUGCAAAGAAGAAACAGGAAAGUGUGAUUCAAAGUCAGAAAAAAGUCAGUCAAUAGAAAUCUACUCUGUUAGGGACAGGUGUUGGUGAAUUAAGUAAUUAGAGACUCUAAAGCAGCUAUGAUAAAUAUGUUCACAGAGGAAAGCUCAAUAGAGAAAUGAAACUUCAAACAUGGAAAUUUAAGACUUGAAAAGUACAAAAACUAGAAAGAAAAAUUUACUAGGUGGACCAAACGGCAGAUUAGAGAUGCCAAAAUUGCAUAAAUUGAACAGAGAUCAAAAGACGUUAUUUAAUCUAAAAAAUUGAAGAAAAAUGAGCAGAGCCUUAGAGUCCUGUAAAAUAUCAAGCAAGAUAACAUAUAUGUAAUUGGGUUCCGGAGGGAGAGAAGGAAUGGAAAAAAAUAUUUGCAUAAAUAAUGACUGAAAAAUUCCAUGAUUGGCAGAAAACACUAAUUUACAGAUCUAAGAAGGUCAAGCACCCCAAGCAGGAUAUAUAAUUAUAUCACUUCCAUGCAGAAGAGAAAUGCAGAAAGCCAAAGAUAAAGAGCAAAGUGUUGAAAGCAGCCAAAGAAAAGUGACACAUCACGUACAGGAAAAUAGUUCAGCUCAAUGGCUGAAUUUUCAUCAGAAAUACUGGCAUUCAGAAGAAAUUUAAAAAUGCUGAAAACAAAACUAGCAGCCAAGAAUUUUGUAUCAAGCAAAAAUGUCUUUUCAAAAUUAAAGGCAAAAGGAAGCAACUUCCAGAUAAAUUUAAAAGACAGAAUUUAUGCCAUUAUAUUUACACUGUAAGAAAUGCUAAAUGAGGUUCUUCAGGUUGAAGGGAAAUGACCCUGAUGACAACAUGGAUCUACAGGAAAAAAUGAAAAGCAUCAGAAAUCAUACAUAUGUGAGUAAAUAUAAAAUACUAAAUAUUGAUAGAUGAAUAUAUGGAUAGGUACUACACAAACACAUAUGAACAUAUAAUUCUUAAUAUCUUAACACAUGAUAUAGGACUCUUCAAAACAAAAAAUUAUUACAUUGUAUUGUUGGGUUUGUAAUGGACACAGAUAUAAAAUAUGUAACAAUAUUAAGAGUAGGAAAAGUAGAGAUACAUUGUUAAAAGGUUCUAGUAUUUUACUUGAAGUAGUUCAAUAUUAACUCUAGACUAUUAUAAGUUAAAGUUAAGUUGCGUAUUGUAAUCACUACAGCAACCACUAAAAAUAGAACAAAGAAAUACGGCAAAAAAGCCAAGAGACGAAUUAAAAUGUAACACUAAAGAAAAAAAAAAAACACUACGGGGGGCCGGGUGCAGUGGCUCAUGCCUGUAGUCCCAGCACUUUGGGAAGCCAAGGCAGGAGGAUCACCUGAGGUCAGGAGUUCGAGACUAGCCUGGCCAACAUGGUGAAACCCCUCCCCCCAACCAAAAAUACAAAAAUUAGCUGGAUGUGGUGGCACGUGCCUGUAAUCCCAGCUAGUUGGGAGGCUGAGUAGGAAAAUCACUUGAACCCAGGAGGCAGAAAUUGCAGUGAGCAGAGAUCGUGCCACUGCUCUCCAGCCUGGGUGACAGAGCAAGGCUCCAUCUCAAAAAAAAAAAAAAAAAUUAACACUACAAAAGGCAGGAAGAGAGGAACUGUGGAAUAAAACAGAUCAGACAAAUAUAAAUGGGAAGCUUAACUAUAACCAAAUCAAUAAUCAUAUGAUAAUUGAAAACUAAUCAAAAGGUAAUUAAGUGGAAACUGACAUAUUAAUAUGUGUUCAGUCCAUAUACAUAUAUUAUCUCUUUAGUUCCUUUUAAAAAGUGUUUUAUAUUUUUCAGUGUAUAGAUUUUGCAAAAAGUUUGGUAAAUUUAUCCCCAUGUAGUUCAUAUUUUAGGAAGGUAUUAUAAGUUCAAUUGUACUUUUGCUGUUUUGUUCAUUGCUCACAUAUAGAAAUAUGAUAAAUUUUUAUGUAUUGAACUUUCAUCCUUUGACCUCGAUAGAUCUAUUUAUUAGUUCUAGUAAGUUUCUGUAGUCUUCUUAAGAUUUUCUGUAUAAAUGGUCAUGCAAUCUGAAUAAAUACAGUUUUACGGCUUCCU